GAGGGAGGGGGUCUUGCCUCAUUUCUGUCAGGUGGGGGUGAAAGUCCAGGUGCCAUUGGCCCUUGAGGAGGCGGGGCUCCUUGUUAGUGCCAGGUGGGUGGGAGUGGGAAUCCGUGCUCCCACUAGGCCUCUAUUGGUAGCACCCAGGCUGGGAGAGAGGCAUCUUGCUAGUGUUCCUCAAGUAAUCUUCACUGCCAACAAGGAGGGGAGGGAGCGGACGGCAAUUGAGACAUCUGACUUCCCCUUGACUUCCUCUAACACUGGCAGAUGUUCAGACGUGUCCAGAGUUUCUUCCUUCUGAUGGGUUCGUCAUCUCGCUGACUUCAGGAGUAAAGCCGCAGACCUUCGCAGUGAACAUUACAGCUCUUAAAAGUGGCGUGUCCAGAGUUAUUUGUUCCUCCUGGUGGGUUCGUGGUCUCGCUGACUUCAGGAGUGAAGCCACAGACCUCCGCGGGGGCCUCAUGAAGCCUGCUCUGCCCCCUUGUGUGAGUCCUUGGCAGCUGGCCAGCCGCCUGCAUAGGAGGAAGCUCAGCUCGCCCGGCCAUUUUAAAGAAGUCAGCAACACAGGGGGGAUCAGUCCCCUGGCAUGCCAAGACCCUGGGUAAAUUGCUGAACAUCGCUGGACUUAAGUGUUUU
rnacentral:lncRNA from 1 species